CAUUAAUAUGGAUCAGUAUUUUUCUAGUUUACAAACAUCCAGUUAUAUUGUUCUAAGCAGUCUUUUAAGUAAAUUAGCACCUUAAAGACCUGAAACAUUAGAUUAACAGCCAAGCAAAAACUAUUUUUAGAAUAAAAAUGUUUUUCCCGCAAUAUCGGAGGUCUGUGACAAAAACAAUAUUCAUCACUGCAUAUCAUUACAUAGUACACUGACUUGUAGCAAACUUUGAAAUUUUCAUUGUAUUAAUGAUAAGCACAAGGACCAAUAGACAAGCACUGACUCUACUGUCAAAGUCUUUUUUUUCAAAUUUACGCAAGAAAAGCGAAAGGAUAAAUAUACCAUUGCAAUGAUAUCAAAUCGUAUAAAAUGUAGUUGUGAUAGAGCAAGCGGUUUUCAAAUGCAUUAACAAAGAUCUAAUAAAUAAAAAAAAAUAUCAACAAAUAAAAUUCUACCUCUUGACACGUAAUGCUUGUUAUUCAUGUAAUUGCUCCAAUUAAUAUCUGUGUACUUUUUUUUGUAAAGGAAUAGACACUUUGAUUAACUUAUUAAGUGUUAUUUUCAAUUUAAUUGCCAAUAUAACUUUUCAUUGAUUCUAUAUAUUUUGAUUUCAAUUCUCAGCAUAUCAUUAUUAAUAUUAUUUAUUCAGAUGAAGGUGAUGGAAUUUGUCAUUUUGUUUGUGCUGACUUUUGUGCUCAUAGUUAUUGAAGCACAGAGUCACAAUGAAUAUUGUUGUGCUUGCCAUUGUCUCUGGUGUACUAGAUGGUGUACCAGACCUGUGAUUACGAGUGCAUAAGGAGUUGAAAAUAUAAUCAUGGUACCUGUUACUGUGGACACACAUGAACCAUCAAAGGAUAUAUUGCAAGGAAAGAAUUGAAUAAUUAUCUUUGUGAAAUAUUAAUUACUAAUAAACAGCAAUUAUAAAUAU